AGAGUUUGAUCCUGGCUCAGAAUCAACGCUGGCGGCGCGCUUAACACAUGCAAGUCGCACGAGAAAGGGGCAACCUGAGUAAAGUGGCGCACGGGUGAGUAACACGUGGAUCAUCUACCUCUUGGUGGGGAAUACCUCCGGGAAACUGGAGACAAUACCGCAUAAGCUCGUAAGAGGAAAGCAGCAAUGCGCCGAGAGAG
rnacentral:rRNA from 1 species